rnacentral:rRNA from 1 species
GACGAACGCUGGCGGCGUGCUUAACACAUGCAAGUCGAACGGAAAGGCCCUGCUUUUGUGGGGUGCUCGAGUGGCGAACGGGUGAGUAACACGUGAGUAACCUGCCCUUGACUUUGGGAUCACUUCAGGCAACUGGGGCUAAUACCGGAUCGGAGCUCCUGCUGCAUGGUGGGGGUUGGAAAGUUUCGGCGGUUGGGGAUGGACUCGCGGCUUAUCAGCUUGUUUGUGGGGUAGUGGCUUACCAAGGCUUUGACGGGUAGCCGGCCUGAGAGGGUGACCGGCCACAUUGGGACUGAGAUACGGCCCAGACUCCUACGGGAGGCAGCAGUGGGGAAUAUUGCACAAUGGGCGGAAGCCUGAUGCAGCAACGCCGCGUGCGGGAUGACGGCCUUCGGGUUGUAAACCGCUUUCGCCUGUGACGAAGCGUGAGUGACGGUAAUGGGUAAAGAAGCACCGGCUAACUACGUG